rnacentral:rRNA from 1 species
AGAAUCAACGCUGGCGGCGCGCUUAACACAUGCAAGUCGCACGAGAAAGUGGAGCAAUCCAUGAGUAAAGUGGCGUACGGGUGAGUAACACGUGGAUCAUCUACCUUUUAGUGGGGAAUACCUCCGGGAAACUGGAGACAAUACCGCAUAAGCUCGUAAGAGGAAAGCCGAAAGGCGCUGAAAGAGGAGUCCGCGGCCGAUUAGUUAGUUGGCGGGGUAACGGCCCACCAAGACGAAGAUCGGUA